rnacentral:misc_RNA from 1 species
AUGACGACACCUCGACCAACACAUCUUCACAGAAGAUCAUCCUCAAAAUGGGUUCCUCCAUCUGCACCACUUCAUAAUCCUAUUUCUAUUUUUCGAGGACGAAGUAACAGAGAAACUGGAUCUCGAGUGAUUCGUCCCAAUCAUCUAUUCGAAUCACCUCGUUACGAACUAAACAACUACCGAGACUUCACUGACAAUCGAAUUUCAACAACUAAAUACACAUUUUGGAACUUCAUUCCACUCAAUAUUUGGCAUCAAGUGUCCACAAAAUACGCAAAUCUAUAUUUUAUAUUUAUUGCAAUACUCAAUUGGGUACCAUUUUUUGAUGCUUACACAAGAUAUGUUGGAUUAAUACCAAUUUGUUUUGUAUUGGGAACAACUUUGAUCAAAGACGGAAUUGAAGAUUAUCGAAGAUAUAAGUUUGAUAAUCAGAUUAAUAAGAAAACAUGUCAUGUGUGGGAUCGAGAUAGAUGUGCAUUUCGAAAAACUGAAUGGAGAUAUAUAUUAGUUGGCGAUUUUGUACAUAUUUCAAAUAAUCAAGAUGUGCCAGCUGAUAUCAUUUUAUUACGUUCAUCAAGUGAAAGUGGAACAUGUUAUAUUGAAACAUGUAACUUAGAUGGUGAAACAUCAUUGAAACAAAGAAUGGUUCCUGCAAAAGUGAUUGAUUAUUCAAAGAAAGACUCUACCUUCAAGCCACCAGAUUUCACAGGAGUUGUGACAUGUGAGAAGCCAGAUAAAAGUAUUUACACAAUUAGAGCGAAAGUGGAAUUUGAACCAGGCCAAUCUGACGUCAUUAUCAAAGAAAACAUGCUUCUUCGGGGUUCCCGUAUCAAAAACACAACGUUUGUUGAGGGAAUUGUGGUUUAUGCAGGUCACGAUACAAAAGUGAUGCAGAACAAUGGACGAGCUCCACACAAAACAUCUGGAAUUGAAAAACUGACAAACAAAUUUAUAAUUGCUUGUUUCAUAAUGCUUCUCCUUAUGGUAUUGUAUGGCGCUAUCACUUCAGCAGUUUGGGUUGGACAACAUCCAGUUGAUGAACAGAUUCCAUUCAUUCUCUCAAACACACCGAGACCGUUCAUAGAGGGGUUCAUUGGCAUAGGUGCAUUCUUUAUCAACUAUCAACUUCUUGUGCCAAUUUCACUGUAUAUUACUGUAGAAAUUAUCAAAGCACUUCAAAUCUACUUUAUCAGCAAUGAUAUUCAGUUAUAUGAUCAGAAAUCGGAUAGAGCGAUUGAUUGUCGUUCUUUGAGUAUUCCCGAAGAACUUGGAACAGUCACACAUGUUCUUUCAGACAAAACAGGAACACUUACUGAAAAUAUGAUGAUAUUCAGAAAUUGUGCAUUCGAUGAAACAGAUUACGGUAGCAAUGGUUCUCAAUCGAAUCCUGACAAACCAGUGAAAUCUGAUGAACUCUAUCAAAGAAUAUUGACAUCUAUGCAAAACCCAGUACAGAAGCAUUUCUUUGCAAACAUUCUUCUGAAUAAUUCAGUUGUUGUAAACCAUAUACCACAUACAGACGUUCUAGAGUUGGGAAAUUUUGAUGGAGGAGUGUACAAUAUUGGAAACUCAUGUUUCUAUGAUGUAACUGAAGAGAAGUAUAAGCAGAAGUUGGCUGCUAUUGGGAAGGGUGGUGUGGAUGACGAUGAUGUUUCAAGACCAGACGAAUUGGGACUUCCAACAACAUCAAUCCAAUUUGAUGACCGACUAACUGUAAUUGUGGAAGAAGACACACCAUCAGACUCACCAGCGCCUGAUGCAUCUCCUAGAGAUCUUCCUGAAACUCCAACUCCAACUUCUCCAAUUUAUCGACCACUUUCAUCAUUGUCUUCUUUUUCAAGAAAAUUGUCCACAGUUGUGAGAAGAAGUAUUUUAAGACCUAUAUCAGACAUAAUACCUGUGAGAAAACGAUUAAUCUCAUUCAAACAGCAGGCUAUGAAUCCAUACGAAGCUGAAAGUCCAGAUGAGUUGGCUUUAAUUGAAGGAGCUGCUCUUUAUGACUAUGUUCUUCUGGAAAGAGCAGCAACAAGUGUUACAAUUUCAACUCCAGAAAAAGCUGAGAAAAGAUAUGAAAUUCUAUUAACACUUCCUUUUGAUGCAACAAGAAAACGAAUGUCAGUAAUUGUAAAUUCUCAAAAAGGACCAUUGAUGUACUGUAAAGGUGCAGAUUCAGCUAUAAUUUCAAGGUUAUCAUCAGAUUCUCUGGAAAGUAAAAGAGUUCAAGAUUUGAAAGAUCAUCUGGACAAUUACGCAAAGAAAGGUCUAAGAACGUUGUGUUUUGCAAUGAAGUAUAUUUCAAAAGAAGACUUCGAAGAUUUUCUAGAUUCUUAUAGAUUUCUAAUGGAAGAUGCAACAAGUGAACGUGAGAAGAUGUUAUCUGAAAAAGCAGAUGAACUUGAAACAAAUCUGAAAUUAUCUGGAGUGACUGGAAUUGAAGAUAGAUUGCAAGAUGGUGUUCCAGAUACUCUUCGUGCAUUGAGAGAUGCUGGAAUUCAAGUAUGGGUUCUAACUGGAGAUAAAUUGGAAACUGCCCAGAAUAUUGCUACGUCCAGUGGCCUUUUUCAUCCACAAAGAUCAUUAAAAGUGAUAGAAACUGAAACCGAUGCUGAAGAAGCUAGUGAAUCAGCUGGAUUAAACAUAAUAAUGUCCCCAGCUGCAAUUCGAUUAGCACAGGAUGGGAAUGCUCAUCUUAUGGAAGCUUUAAAAAAAGCCAAAACAGUAUUGUGUUAUCGGAUGACACCUUCUGAAAAAGCGACAAUUGUGAACACUGUAAAGAAGAGAAUUAAAGGAAAUGUUCUAGCAAUUGGCGACGGAGCCAACGACGUUCCAAUGAUUCAGGCGGCUCAUGUCGGAAUUGGAAUCGCUGGAAAAGAAGGAUUACAGGCGGCCAUGGCUUGUGAUUUUGCUAUUGCAAGGUUCAAAUUUUUAUCCAGAUUAUUACUGGUUCACGGACACUGGAGUUAUUAUAGAUUAGCAAACACUUUUCUAUAUUUUCUGUACAAAAAUGCGAAUGCUGUGUUCAUAAUUUUCUAUUACCAAUUUUAUAACGGAGCAUCUGGAACAAAUAUAGUUGAUCCAAUAUGGGGAGUCAUUUAUCCAAUUAUUUUCACAAGUGUUCAGCCUGUAGUUGUUGGAGUCUUAGAUCAAGAUUAUGAUGAUCAAACAUUAAUGAAUAAGCCAGAACUUUAUGUGAUUGGAAGGGAAAACCAACUGUACACGUGGAAACAUUUCUUUCGAGAUGUCAUUGAUGGUAUCUACCAAGCUGCAGUUAUUUAUUAUGUUGCAUAUCUGACUCUGGACAACUCUACGUCAAGCCUUUGGGAAAUGGGAUUUUACAUUGCAACUAGCUCAAUUCUUGUCAAUUCUGGUCAUCUAGCUCUACAAGUUCGCUAUUGGCAUUGGCAACUUGUUGCACUAUUCUCAUUUUUCAUACUUUUUAAUUUUGCAUUUUUCUUUGCCGAAUGUCUUACUGCGGCAGCUGCAAUGGUUCCUGAUCCACCAGUUUGGAUGCCAAUACAUGCAAUGGGAGAUCCUAGAUUUUGGUAUUAUCAAUUUAUUACGGUUAUUGUGGCAUUAUGCCCAAGAUUUACAUCAAUGUGUCUAAUGUCUUCUUUGAAAUCUGAAACAUCAAAAAGAUAAUUCCAUUUUCUUCGAAGCAUUUUUUAUUUUUUGUACAAAUAGUCUCAUAAAUUGAUCUGAUACACACAAACGGGUACUAUCUCUUCUCAAUAAAUCAAACAUUCUCUGGUAACCCGAAAGAUUUCACAGCUCGAUAACGUCGGCAGAAUCAUGUUCGAACUGGCUUUCAUCGCUGUUCUCGUCGCAGGUGCGGUCUAUGUUUUUAUGACCCUUCGCAAAAAUGGAUUUUUCGUCACCGUUGAGCCAUCUGUCACCACUUCACCAAAAAAUCUCGACAAACCGUUGACAGUCUACUACAAAUAUCAUUUGGGACCAUAUCAAAAUGUGAUGAAUGUGAUCGGCGAGGCAAAACAACUGUUGGCAUCCAGCCCAACACCUGCAACGUUCUUCGGCAUCUAUUACGAUAACCCAGAAGUCACCGAUUCCCACUUCCUCCAAUCUGCUGUUGGAGUCGUUUUUGGAUCAGAUGGAAAUGAUUUCCACAGUGAAAAAUAUUCGAAAGAUUUGACUGACAAUGGCUUUGAGAAGUUGGUUCUGCCAAAUGUCGAGAGAGCCGUUCAAGUUACUCAGCCAUCCACUGGUGGAUUCGCCUCUUUCUUGGCUCUUGUUUGGUUCACCUAUUCAACCAUCAGAAAGUAUAUUUCCGAAAACAAACUUGAAACAACUUACGCCGUCGAGUUCUACACCAACACCGAAAUCAAUGUCAUUUUCCCAUUGGACAACGCCAACGAGUUUCUCGUGAAAGAUUACCAAUCGAUCGACAAGCUUGAGAGUGAAGCCGCCAAGAAAAGAUUUGACUCAUCCGAGGAGGACAGCGAGAGUGAGCCAGAAGGAGCUGAGGAGCCAGCCACAGAGGAAAAUGAACAAUAA